AGAGGUGUAGCUCAGUGGUAGAGCACUUGCCUAUCAAGUGUGGGUUCCUGGGUUCAAUCCCCAGAACCACAA
rnacentral:tRNA from 1 species